GAAGGAGGACGUCUUCUAUUCUUAGUCUUAGGGUAUUCUUAGUCUUAUAGUCUUAGGGGUUGAUUAAUGGUUGGGUACUAUUCGUUCGUUCUCUAUAAAAUAGGAAUUUUUUGUAUCUAUCUAACUUAUCGAAUUUCUUGUUAAAUAAGUUUUUUAUUCUUUUAAAGAAAUAUCUUAGAAAAAAGAAAGAAAAUUCGAAAAAGGUCGAAAAUUUGAAGUUGAAGUUAAUAA
rnacentral:tRNA from 1 species